GGCUUGACAGCUCAGUUGCUAAGAGCAUUGCAUCGGCAUCGCAAGGUCAUGAGUUCGAAUCCCGCUCAAGCCU